rnacentral:tRNA from 5 species
GGGUCGCUAGCUCAGCGGUAGAGCACCCGGCUUUUAACCGGAGAGUCGCAGGUUCGAUCCCUGCGCGGCCCA